rnacentral:rRNA from 1 species
AGCUUGAUUGCAAGACAUACAGGUCGAGCAAGGAUGAAAAUCGGACUUAGUGAUCCGGUGGUUCUGCGUGGAAGGGCCAUCGCUCAACGGAUUAAAGCUACCCUGGGGAUAACAGGCUUAUCUCCCCCAAGAGUCCACAUCGACGGGGAGGUUUGGCACCUCGAUGUCGGCUCAUCACAUCCUGGGGCUGUAGUAGGUCCCAAGGGUUGGGCUGUUCGCCCAUUAAAGUGGUACGCGAGCUGGGUUCAGAACGUCGUGAGACAGUUCGGUCCCUAUCCGUCGCAGGCGUAGGAAAGUUGAGAAGACCUGUCCUUAGUACGAGAGGACCGGGAUGGACGUACCUCUGGUGUACCAGUUGUUCUGCCAAGGGCAUGGCUGGGUAGCUAUGUACGGAAUGGAUAAGCGCUGAAAGCAUCUAAGCGCGAAGCCAACUUCAAGAUAAGAUUUCCCACCGCAAGGGUAAGACCCCAGAAAGACUAUCUGGUUGAUAGGUCGAAGGUGUAAGUGCAGCAAUGUAUUUAGCUUAUCGAUACUAAUAGGUCGAGGACUUGACCAAU